UCGCCUAAGUGCUCGAGGAGGCGCUCGAGCUUGGCAUGCUCGUCGGCGACACCGGGCCCCUCCCUCCUUCUAUUGCCUCGCCGCCGCCAUGAGCCCCUCCACCCUCUCCUGUGUGAUUGUACAGCUCUAGGCAGUCUGUUGGCACAAUGAAUAAUGUCUGCUCUUCGACUGGAGCAGUUCUUCCCUGUUGGUAAUCAGAGGAUACAUGCUACUAAUUCUUCAACUGAAAUUAAUUUUCAGUUUGAUCCAAGAGCAAAUCAUGAACCUCGAGUUUUCUUAGCACCUAUGCCAAAGAGAAGAAGAUUGUUGCUUCUGGUUGUGAGUGAAUCUAAGAGUUAACAUGGUACAAUAUCUUCUCGAAGAUGAUGUAUUCCUUCAUAAAAAAGGAUGUUGGAGAAGUUAUUAUUGAAGAGGAGUUCAGUCUCAUGUGAUUCUCAAGAGCUAAAAUGGAACAAGAAGUGCAGGCCUCUCAUGUCUACACUAACUAAUCAGAAAAAACGUGGUAUCAGAAAAGGGCGAAUAGGGGAAGAAUCAACAUAGAUAUUGUCCCGGUUUUAUCCCGUCCUGGAGCUACAAGAAGGCUGGGUGAAGUCUACGAUGGGUUCUUUUCCAAGCAAAGAGAAGGCUGAGGCGACUCUGGUCUACAGCUACAAGAACGCCAUCAGCAGGUUCGGGACGAAGCUCACGCCCGCGCAAGUCGCCGUGUUGAGGAGUGAGUUCCCCUCUUGCUGUUAUGCUCUGCUCUCACAGUCAACUGAAUCCCUUUAGUUAGCAAUAAAACUACAGUUGCAAGAGUUUUUUUAAUUGCAUGAGGAACAGUAGAUGGUCAACUAAGGCAAACCCAUAGUAUAACCGUUAAGAUCAGGUUGGUGAUUUUAGUCGGAUCUGUUGUCAAUAGUGAGGUCAAUGCAAGGCCUACUCUCAUGGUUAAUAUGCUAAUUCUUGACACCAGAAAACCAAGAAAGGUGUACCAUGAGCAAGGAUCGACAUUAUAAAUGUAUACACUAUUAUGUAUAAAUGGCCAACGGCUCCAGCAACUAUAGCAAUUAAACCGUGAGCACCAGGGCAUUAAGUAAAAAGGCAAAUAAAUAGUUACUGAACCUAGCCUUGUUAUGAUACCUAUUCAAACUAAAUGAAGUACAAAAUAUAUAGAUAGCAAAUUUACCGAAAGUAGAACGCACACAACCGCUUGAACAGCUCUAGCAGCCCGUGAGAUGCAAAUCAGGAUACCUCACAAAAUAUUCUAAGUAUGCAUUGAUCAAUAUCUAUGCAAAGCAAACAAAGGAGGUUUCUACACUAUGGAUCAGAAAUAUUCACUGUUUAACUUGUUCAGGCCAAAUCCAUUGCCAAGACUCCUCAGAUGUAUUCCUUAAUUAAAAGUUCCAUAUGUUCAGAAAAUAAAGUAUAAUACCAUCAACUCCAGUUUCAUAAACUGUUAUUGGAACAUAUGUACAAUUUUGUAACUGAGUAUACAGACCAGUGCUAACCACAUAUAGUUGUUCUUAGUCCGAGCUAAAAUAUACCCAUGUUAACAGUUUUGUACAUGGGUAGUUUGGAUAUUUAAUCUCAACAGGACAACAUCACAUUUUAUCCAAAGUACAACAGGCAAAGCUUGAAUCUAACUAUCAUAAGAAAAUACACAAACUGAUCUAGCAUAAAUAAUUUGGCUCGGUGUAUCCAUGUUAACAACUGAUUAACGGAAUAUAUUGGGUUGGGGUACCAAGGCUAAUUAGUUACGUGAUUCCUAAUCAGGACGCCUACUCACGUGUGACCAUCUGUAGCAUUUCUUUAAACAUGGUCUUUGCUUCAAUAAUGUCAAUCUACAAAGCAUUCACAAUACGGAAAGGUAAAUAAAAUGCAGCUUCCAUCAGGAAAAUGCACAGAAUAAUUAGCAUCAAUCAAGGGAAGCCAAACCAAGCAGGGAACAUCACAAAUAGAACAGAGCCAUAUAAGUAAAUGUGAAUGGAGGAAGUAAAAGCAAAGAGAGAGGAGCACCUCGGCUAGAUUCGAGGAAAUCGUGUUCCACUCCUAGGCUCCUAGCGCUCCUGUAGCCGACCCCUCGUCCGUGAGAUGAAGCAACAUAAAUUGGGUUUAGAAAGCAACAGAAUCACACUAACAUAUAGUAUAGGAAGAUGUGUUACCU